AUUGAACGCUGGCGGCAUGCUUUACACAUGCAAGUCGAGCGGCAGCGGGAAAGUAGCUUGCUACUUUUGCCGGCGAGCGGCGGACGGGUGAGUAAUGCCUGGGAAAUUGCCCAGUCGAGGGGGAUAACAGUUGGAAACGACUGCUAAUACCGCAUACGCCCUACGGGGGAAAGCAGGGGACCUUCGGGCCUUGCGCGAUUGGAUAUGCCCAGGUGGGAUUAGCUAGUUGGUGAGGUAAUGGCUCACCAAGGCGACGAUCCCUAGCUGGUCUGAGAGGAUGAUCAGCCACACUGGAACUGAGACACGGUCCAGACUCCUACGGGAGGCAGCAGUGGGGAAUAUUGCACAAUGGGGGAAACCCUGAUGCAGCCAUGCCGCGUGUGUGAAGAAGGCCUUCGGGUUGUAAAGCACUUUCAGCGAGGAGGAAAGGUCAGUAGCUAAUACCUGCUGGCUGUGACGUUACUCGCAGAAGAAGCACCGGCUAACCCCGUGCCAGCCGCCGCAGUAAAAC
rnacentral:rRNA from 1 species